CCCCGGAGCGGCCUCCCACACCCGCCUGCUUGGUUUUCCCACACGGGUUUUCCACCCGCUCUGGACGCGGGCCCCGCGUUCCUGUCAGCGCACCUGAGCCCUCCCGCUCGCCCUCUCCGCUCUUCUGCGCCCUGCAGAUAAGGAGCCCGGGUUCACCCCGCCCCGCCGCCGGCCACGGGCACCCCAGGGGCAGGUCCUAGGCUCCAAAGGGAUAAGCAGAGCUCCGGGGCUGCACAAACGCAGCGCCACGUUUAAGGGAAGUUUGCCCCAGAGCUUCCCCUCGCCUCCCCCCCCCCUUCCCCCGCGGGUGUUUGACUCGCACAGGACCCCCCCAAAACCCUAAAGCUGCCCCUAGACGAGAGCUUCACAUCCUGCCGUUAACCCUGCGGGGAGAGCGGGGCAAGGGGGCUGUGAUCUAAGGCCUCAUCCCCUCCCCCUAUCCCAGUUACACAGGCUUCGUGUCCUCCUAUUAACCCUGUGGAGAGAGGACAAAAGCUAAACUAUGAUCCCGCUCCGCUUCCCCCCAUCCCGUUCCCAGCUACAUGAGCUUCACAUCCUCCUGCUAACGCUGAAAAGGAGAGGAGAACAAGAGCUGCUGCUGAUUGAGACUCUUGGAUUUUGGUGUCUCUGACCAUUUUUGCACAAAGAAUACAAUAUAUUUGAGGGGAAAUCUUGAGAACUGUUGGGUAUUCCCAGAACUGGGGUCAUUUGCUUAGAUUCACAUCCUGCCCACCUGUCCUCUGCUGGGUUUCUGCUGAUGCUUUUGCUGUUGUUUUAUAUUCCAAACAAGGAUCCUUGUGAAUGCUUCAGCUCCAAAUUUAGGUCAUCUCCGGUGGAAGAAGGAAGACCUAAAAAGUAAAAAUAAGAUUUCAACGUGCCUUUAAAAGUGACAACUCUUUUGUAAAAGAAAGCUCUGGGCUCCCAUCUGCAAAGAGCUCAUGAGCCCCUCAAGAACUGCUGAGUCAUCAAAGAUCGCACAUCUUCUACAGGACCAGGCCUGUAAGUUGCAGUUGUCUUUUCUUCUGUAAUUGCAUACGAUGUCUUUCAUGACAGAGAACCUUGAGACAAUUUCUGAACUCCACAGCCACAAAAGCAGUGCCUGUUGGGGGUUAUGCAGUC